GGGAAUCAAAUAUAAAUUAGAAGAUUUUGCAUAAGAAGUUAGACUCAAGUACAGAAUUCAUCGACUAUAAUGUCCAGGGAAAAUGGUGCCGCGGCAUUAUAUGCUUAUUUGGUCAAAAUUGGCAGGAUUUAACCUUUACUUACCAUGGAUAAUGGGAACACAGUCUCGAACAUAACUACAAGUCCUUUUCUCACAUCUACACAAAUGACCCUUAAU
rnacentral:misc_RNA from 1 species